rnacentral:sRNA from 1 species
UUCCAGCGCCUUUGCUCAACGGUCCCCCAGUAGAGUCCAGCCAUUAUACAUCUGAGGAUGAAAGAGAUGUUGUCUAUGAUGUGCAGGCGGUAAAACCGACGUCCAUGUCAUUUCUGAAGGCCUGUCUCCUGCCUGGAGUUAUUCCUUACUCUUUGGCCUAUGCUUUUCUAAAGCUAGUCAACUACUCCUUUUUCUUUUGGCUACCUUUUUAUUUGAGUAAUUCAUUCCACUGGGACGAAAGUACAUCUGACCAACUGUCUACAGCAUAUGACGUAGCAGGCAUUUUUGGUGGAACAAUUAUUGGAUUU